rnacentral:rRNA from 1 species
UGGAUCUCAAAUCAGACAAGAUGACCCGCUGAAUUUAAGCAUAUAACUAAGCGGAGGAAAAGAAACUAACAAGGAUUCCCCUAGUAGCGGCGAGCGAAGCGGGAACAGCCCAAGAUGAAAAUCCCUUCGGGGAGUUGUAGUCUGAGUGUCCUUGGGUGGGUCAGUGCGGGCAAGUCUUCUGGAAUGAAGCGCCAUGGAGGGUGAGAGCCCCGUCCAUCCCGCACAGGAUCCAUUCGUACAAGGACGCUUCAACCGAGUCGGGUAGCUUGGGAAUGCUGCUCUAAUUGGUGGUAAAUCUCAUCAAAGGCUAAAUAGUGGUGGGAGGCCGAUAGCGAACAAGUACCGUGAGGGAAAGAUGGAAAGAACUUUGAAAAGAGAGUGAAAAGCACUUGAAACCGUCACGGGGGAAGCGGAUUGCGUGAGUGAUGGUGUCGCUUGUUCAGCGCUUUAUUGCGUGCAUUCUGGCGGCGCCGUGCCGGCGUGGCUGGCUGGACUGUGAUUUUGACAGUCUCGGCUGGUGAGGGCUCCCUCGUAUGAGGUGAGGACGCGGGCAAAAUGACGC